rnacentral:piRNA from 1 species
UACUCUGAUGUGAGUUUCUGCAAAUGACGAG